CCUUGCGCAUUUGUGAAUACUUAUUUUUAAGGCGAAACGGACAAUCUAGAUAAUGUGUUACAAUAUGUACUACUUUUAGGGUAUGAAAUCUUAAUAUUUUUUCACAACCAUAAUGAUCAAGGCUCAAAUGAUCGAUUUAAAUGUUUUCCGGCACUAGAACAACUGUUUUUGGUGAGUUUUGAAGUAAGGUUUUACUUAUUUUGAUAUGGCCGCAACACUAUCGAAACAUUUUCCUUAAAAAGAAUUAUCUCUAUGUCCUAUUUUCCUUCCAUGUAUUUUUUUUUGUAUUUUUAAAUUUUUUUUAUUUUUUUAUUUCUCCCAAAAUGCCUCUCAAGAACUCAAGUUCCAAACCAGUGUAUUUCCUUUUAGAAAAUUGUUUAAUGAGGAUUGCAUUUCUAUAUUUACGGUAACCGAGGCAUAAAGCAUCCAUCUUAAAGAUGGAUGCAAAUAGGUGGUCCAUAUCCUUCCUUUUUUGCCUCAUUUUCUGUUUGAAACUUCCAAGUUUUCCACUGAAUUUUGUUUACUUAUAUAUUUAUAAAAAAUUACCCCUUAAAAAGAUUGAGUAUACCUAGGAAUUUUGUUUACUUCCAAGUAAAAAUUUUGCUCUAAAUACUAUUGUGCUUAAGUCAAGUCGAUUAAAUGUUGGAUUAUUUUUAAUCAGUAGUUGUUUUGUUUAUCACCAUUGAGGGUUACAUGUCAUUGUUAUAAAUAAAUUUGGUUUUCCAAAAUUUUUUAUGACAGCCAUGGCAUCUUGGUAUCUUGAUUGCAUGUCUCUCGGUCCUCCAAUAAAAUAUGAUGGUAAAGUAAUUCUUUGACCAAUAUUACAUGCUCGAAAUUCACCAUGUAGCACAACAUCAUGCAAUCCUUUGUACAUCUCCACUCUAAGUUUAUCUUGAUUGUUUGCUACAUAUCUCAAUCUUCUUGUUUCAAUUUUCACAUACAUAUUAAUUAUAUAUUAUUGGAACAACCUUCCUGCAUGUAUUAGCAAAUUUCUUUCCUGAUGUCGAAUUUAUAACUUGUAAUUGUAAUUUUCUCUUAAUGAAACAUAUUGUUUUUUCUCAAA
rnacentral:lncRNA from 1 species